rnacentral:rRNA from 1 species
CACGUAGGGCGCAAGCGUUGUCCGGAAUCAUUGGGCGUAAAGAGCUCGUAGGUGGUUUGUCGCGUCCGCUGUGAAAAUCCAGGGCUCAACCCUGGACUUGCAGUGGAUACGGGCAGACUAGAGGUAGGUAGGGGAGAAUGGAAUUCCCGGUGUAGCGGUGAAAUGCGCAGAUAUCGGGAGGAACACCGGUGGCGAAGGCGGUUCUCUGGGCCUUACCUGACACUGAGGAGCGAAAGCGUGGGGAGCGAACAGG